rnacentral:lncRNA from 1 species
CGCAAGUCAGCCCAGUCGAAUCUCACCAGUAGCAGCCCAUCAGCAGAAUUUUAUUGAGGCCCAUCUCCUGCAGUCUUCAAGCCCAGUCCAAUCCAAGUGAAUUAAUUGGUCAAGCCCAUUUCAGCAGGCCCAACCCAACUUGGGUCUGGCCCAAAAGCAAGAACAAAUCUCAGUUGGGCUGAGAUUUGUUGGGGCCAAGUCCAAGGCCCGGUCCAAGCCCACCGGUGUUGUCGAAAAUCUGAUUUCGGCUGCCGUCGUGUCGCCGUUGCGGUGAUUCGAUCUCCGCUUUUGUCAAGUGAGUUUUAGUCACUAAAGCUUUCUUAGUUUGCUAAUUAUACUUAAGGUUGGUUAGAUUUAAUUAAAUGCAAUUAGGUGGUUAGAUUAGUUUAGAUCAAUUAAAUUAGAGACUUAAUGAUGCAUGUUAGGUGGUUAGAAAUAGACAUUAGCAAGUAAACAUGCCAUGUUAUUUAUGGAGCGAGUCUCGGUAAUUUUUCGGGCUUGUCUCGGUAUCCAAUUCGGCAUUAUGAGCCUAAAUUGGAUUUUUAUAAUUAUUUAUUUAAUUUUCGAAAUUAAUUAUUUAAUUAUUUAUUUUUCCAGAAAUUCAACCGGGAUGGCCGGUGACCGGAAUUUCGUGCUGAUUGUCGUGGUGCAGUCCGUUUAUUUAUUUGAGCUUUAUUUGGUGCUAAAGUAAUUUAUGAGUGAAUUUAAGAUUUAUUCCUAAAUUGAAUCUGGAGAGGGUCGGGUGGGACCGUAAAGCCAUUAGUUCUUGAGAGGGUCGGGUGGGACCGUAAAGCCACUAGUUCUUGAAAGGGUCCGACUGACACGAAAUCGACUAGGUCGAUUCGAUCGAUGCUUCGAUCGGUGAUGUGAUUGUUUGAAUGCCUAUUGAACUGUACUAAUAUGCAGAUAGAAUCUGAGCCCAAGGUAAGUCAUCCAACUCGUGCCCUGUUUAGGCAGCCUAUAGUGUAUUGGCUUUCUAAUCGAGUCUUAGGGGGUAGGACUCGCUGAGACGUGGUCUCAUUGGUUAUUGAAUAACCAUUUCAGGACCCUGAGGAGAAGCUAAGGAAGAGGAACCUGAAGGGGAGAAAGACUUUUGAAGAAGAAGAUGAUCCAGAGAAGGAUCUUGAAUAUAACCCGGAUGUGGACUGAGAUCCCAUCCCUUUUGUAAACCC